ACGGAAGGCAGCAGUGGGGAAUAUUGCACAAUGGGCGCAAGCCUGAUGCAGCAACGCCGCGUGAGGGAUGAAGGUCUUCGGAUUGUAAACCUCUGUCCUUGGGGACGAAGAAAGUGACGGUACCCAAGGAGGAAGCCCCGGCUAACUACGUGCCAGCAGCCGCGGUAAUACGUAGGGGGCGAGCGUUAUCCGGAAUUAUUGGGCGUAAAGAGUACGUAGGUGGUUUUGUAAGCGGAUGGUGAAAGCCCGGGGCUUAACUCCGGCGAGCCGUCCGAACUGCAAGACUUGAGUGCAGGAGGGGAAAGUGGAAUUCCUAGUGUAGCGGUGAAAUGCGUAGAUAUUAGGAGGAACACCAGUGGCGAAGGCGACUUUCUGGACUGUAACUGACACUGAGGUACGAAAGCGUGGGGAGCAAACAGGAUUAGAUACCCUGGUA
rnacentral:rRNA from 1 species